AUUCUGGAGCCAGCUCUGCAGGGGGAACAUGGGGGGAGGGGACUCACACCAUGACCUGUGUGGAGGUGGCCAUGGUCGGGUGAACCAAUGAACCAACGUAUGAACUCCUGAGUGUGUCUUAAGUCCAAAGAGCAGGACUCCGUGAAGGAAAGAGGGAAGAGCUGCAGCGGGGAAGCUGAACAGGAUUUUAACAACGGCUUGAAGAAACAAACUUACCAUGAAAAUGCAGGGCAGUCCAGCCUUGUGCAGACAAAGGAGAAAUGAGCAUCACUCCGGCAAAUAGUGCUGGCGACGUUCUCUCCCUCCCUCCACCAAGGAAAACAAAAGAAGGGCAAGGCCCAGAGUCGACAGAGGCUUCUUCCCUGGGUCAGAGAAACCCGAGGUCUCGGGGCCCAAAUCCCAGCGCUGCCUGGAGGAAAGGACCCAGCACCUCCCAGCGAAGGCCUCUGUCCGCAGCUCCCUUAGUCUGGGGCAGGGAAAUCUGUCUGCACCUUGGCUUGGCUUCCUUCCCUGGGCCCUGGGGGACAACUGCCUAUCCGCUUUCCCCCUCAGGAACAGGGACACAUUAGCAAGGAGACCAGUGUGUCCCAGUUGGCCCAGACUGUGCUGGUUUUAAAACGGAGAGUCCUGGAAACCCCUUCACCUGGGCACACCAGGAUGGUGGAGCACAGGGCAGGACGAGCAGCAGGUCAGCCCUGGGGCCCACUGCUGCCGGAGGCUUCCUGGUCACUGUCUGUUCCCAAGCACCUGAACUUAACCCUAACCCUACCCCUAACCCAAAUUCAACUCACCACUGGCAGAACUGUCCUCUGUCCUGGACUACCUCCACCCUGGCCAGGGUGCUCAAGGCCCUGUUGGUGGUCGAGGGGUUCCUAUGGAUCCCGGACCCCGGCCUGGGCCUCAUCGGAGCCCACCUGAGCCUCUGACCACCAUCUCUCUCUGCUCUGCUGUCAAGGAUCGCCCCCCGCAGCCCCCCACCCACCUUCUGCCAGGUACCUCAAGAGAAACAUGGAUGGCCCCCCUGGGCUCCCUACCGUGGGCACAGGGCUGUGGAGGCCACUCCCUCUGAACGCCACACCCCACACUGCACAUGCCCUGCCCGCUCCCCCAACAGCAGAGUUCCUGCAGGACGAUGGCCAAGCCUCUCUCACUGGGCGAGCUGCUCCCUCUCCACAGGGGCCCCAGCUGCCCAGGUACAGAAUCUCUAACAGUCAGAGCAAGCGUUUAGGGAACCAUCAAAACAGGACACCAAAAACAAUUGUUUUAAGAAUUUGGCUUUUUUUUUUUUAAGUGUCUAAGUUGACCUCAAGAAAAUCUGCAAUGUUUUAGACUUUCU